UCGAGCACGCGCGUGUGGCAUAUCAAUAAGCGGAGGAAAAGAAACUAACAAGGAUUCCCUUAGUAACGGCGAGUGAAGCGGGAAGAGCUCAAAUUUGAAAUCUUCAAGGUUCUACCUUGACGAAUUGUAGUUUAUAGAAGUGUUUUCUGUUAGUAGAGUGGCAAAAGUUCUUUGGAAUAGGACAUCAUAGAGGGUGAGAAUCCCGUAUUUGAUCACUUUCUACUAACGUUGUGAUACACUUUCAAAGAGUCGGAUUGUUUGGGAAUGCAGUCCAAAAUGGGUGGUAAAUUUCAUCUAAAGCUAAAUAUUGGCGAGAGACCGAUAGCGAACAAGUACCGUGAGGGAAGAUGAAAAGAACUUUGAAAAGAGAGUUAAACAGUACGUGAAAUUGUCAAAAGGGAAGCGUUUGACACCAGUGUUGUUUUUCUCGAAAAUCAAUUACGAAUGUUUUGUUUUUAAGAAGUUAUGACAUCAUCGGCUUGCUUCUUUCUUUACGAAACUUUCUUAAUGCACUUUUCGGUUAACAAGUCAACAUCAAUUUCUUUUGUUGUAAAAGGGUAUGAGGAAGGUGGCUUUCUUUUCGGAGAAAGUGUUUAUAGCCUUGUGCCUCUGCAAUCGGAGAGAUUGAGGUCUGCAGCGUAGAUCCUUCGGGGUUAGAUACGUUUGUGCUAAGUUAUAGCUUUUCAUAGACAACUUGUUGACUAUGUUUAGUCUUGUAGCUUACUCGCUGACGCUAUUUUACCUACGCUUAGGAUGUUGAUGUGAUACUGCGAGCA
rnacentral:rRNA from 1 species